UACGAAGGGGGCGAGCGUUGUUCGGAUUUACUGGGCGUAAAGGGCGCGUAGGCGGCCGAUCAAGUCAGGCGUGAAAGCCCCGGGCUCAACCUGGGAAUGGCGCUUGGGACUGGUUGGCUUGAGUUCGGGAGAGGAGAGUGGAAUUCCCAGUGUAGAGGUGAAAUUCGUAGAUAUUGGGAAGAACACCGGUGGCGAAGGCGGCUCUCUGGACCGAGACUGACGCUGAGGCGCGAAAGCGUGGGGGAGCAAACAGG
rnacentral:rRNA from 1 species